rnacentral:rRNA from 1 species
GACGUAGGGGGGCGAGCGUUGUCCGGAUUUAUUGGGCGUAAAGCGCGCGCAGGCGGCUAUGUAAGUCUGGUGUAUAACCUCGGGGGCUCAACCCCCGGGUCGCACUGGAAACUGUGUAGCUUGAGUACAGAAGAGGAGAGUGGAAUUCCACGUGUAGCGGUGAAAUGCGUAGAUAUGUGGAGGAACACCAGUGGCGAAGGCGACUCUCUGGGGCUGUAACUGACGCUGAGGCGCGAAAGCGUGGGGAGCAAACAGG